GUACGGAGGGUGCAAGCGUUAUCCGGAAUCAUUGGGUUUAAAGGGUCCGCAGGCGGACUAAUAAGUCAGUGGUGAAAUCCUCUCGCUUAACGAGAGAACUGCCAUUGAAACUGUUAGUCUUGAAUUCGGUCGAAGUAGGCGGAAUGUGUCAUGUAGCGGUGAAAUGCAUAGAUAUGACACAGAACACCGAUAGCGAAGGCAGCUUACUAGACCUGGAUUGACGCUCAUGGACGAAAGCGUGGGGAGCGAACAGGAUUAGAAACCCUAGUAGUCC
rnacentral:rRNA from 1 species